GCAGAAGGCAAUGCUUGGCAUUUUUAAAGCUGUUCCCUCCAGCUGGGGCUCUGGUGUGCUACUCCAGCAGCUAAAAGCUAAUGGUGAGCAUGUUCUACCUGUGACUGUGGAAGCAUUGGACAAGGAGAUCUACAAUGCUUAGUAUGCCCAUCCAGAGUAGCUAUGUGCACAGCAUGUAGGUAUUGGAUGAAGCCUUCAAAUCACAUUGAUUCUGGCUCUGGAGACUUGAGAUACUUAAGCACAGAAGUCACAGAUGCAUAGCA